UACGAGGACGAACGCCUGGCGGCAUGCCUAACACAUGCAAGUCGAACGGAGCUUGAGAGCUUGCUUUCAAGCUUAGUGGCGGACGGGUGAGUAACGCGUGAAGCAACCUGCCUCUAAAGUGGGGAAUAAUGUACUGAAAAAGGACACUAAUACCGCAUAAUGUAUAUGAGUCGCAUGGCUUGUGUACCAAAGAUUUAUCGCUUAGAGAUGGGCUCGCGUCCGAUUAGCCAGUUGGUGGGGUAACGGCCUACCAAAGCAACGAUCGGUAGCCGGACUGAGAGGUUGAACGGCCACAUUGGGACUGAGACACGGCCCAGACUCCUACGGGAGGCAGCAGUGGGGGAUAUUGCGCAAUGGGGGAAACCCUGAACCGCAGCAAUGCCGCGUGAAGGAUGAAGGUCUUCGGAUUGUAAACUUCUUUUGUUGGGGAUGAAUAAUGACGGUACCCAACGAAUAAGCUCCGGCUAACUACGUGCCAGCCGCCGC
rnacentral:rRNA from 1 species